UCCGAUUCUCUUCCUCUCUGUUUCUGACCAUCUUACUCUGUCUCUCUUUGCUGCUUUAAUUCUCUGUUUCUGUGAAUGGGUCUGUCUGUCCAUCUCUCUCCAGGACAAAGUAUGCCCUUGGUGGAGAGUCUUAGCCUCUGCAAUUGGCUUGCUGCCCCGCCCCCUGCCCCUCUUCCUCCCACAAACAGUUGUGUUAACAUCUCAGGAAAGAAGGGCGUGGGUAGGAGCUUCAUGGAGCCCAUUGUACAGAUGGGGAAGCUGAGGCUCAGAGGUAUCAGUCCAGUGAUUAUAUGCCCUGCCCUGCCCUAUUUUCCAGAGUCAAAUAUUCAGAAAAAUAACCAAGUUGUCCAAGAGUGACCUCUAGCAUCCUGGGACACUGUCCCCUCUCACCUGGGGUCUGUGUCUUGGGUCUCCCAGGUAGGCAGGCAGGCAGGCCCCUAGGUCCCCAGCCCCCAGCCUUGGAGAUAGUUCUUGGAGACCCCAACUCACCACCUCCUACUCAGCUGUUAAUGCCUCCCAGACUGAUCCUGGGCUUCUGCUGGGGAGGAGAAUCAUCUAAGGUUUAAAAAAAGAGGCACUGGAUGACAAAGAGAGACCUGGGCCUGCCUGCCGUGAGUCCUGUGAUAGAAAAAUGGUCACCAGCGACUGGCCUGAACGGUCUCCACAAGUCAGCUUGGCCACAGAGUUCUAAAGUGAUUUCCGUCAACCAAUAAACUGGGGAUGCAGGAUGAAAUAAAGCUCUCGGAGAGGCUCAUGGGAAAUGCUGCGGGUCUGAGGAGGAAGCAGGAGGUUCUGAAAAGAUAAGGCUGAGAUGAGAGGAGAAAACAUCUUGGGAUUCCAGCAAGGAGACAGUCUCCACUGGUGCCGAUGGGUCUUUAGCAUCUUUCUAACAAUUGUUCACCUCUAUUUUUAAUGAAGAGAGAGCAGAAAGAGCCUGGAGCCUUCAACAGAUGUUCAUCAUCAACUCUCUGCUUACAUGCCACCAGUGACGGGGAGAUCACUUCUUACCAAGGCAACACUUCUAUCUUUGGACAACUCUGAAUUGGAUUCACAGGGUUCUCCCUGACUCCCUUGUCUGUUGACUGUCUUCCAAGUGACAAGUAGAGAAGGCAGGUCUUCAAACCCAGGUUAUCUAGCUCCGAUGCCCCACACCAAACUCACGGUUUCUUCUGGCCUCCUCUGUGGCCGUUUCAUGAAGUGUUCUGCACCCAGCACCAAGUGAUCUUGUAAAAAUGUAAGCCCUCC